AGGAAAUUAAACGUCAUAAAGAAAAGCCCAAUUAGGGUUUAAUGUCCGAACAUUACCAUUUCCUCCAGAAAACAAUGAAGUUCACUCGCUGAUGUGGCUUGGAGUUCAGGCCACGACCCGCUCGGAAGAGAAGAUGGACCUUUCCCAGCCAGUCUGGUAGACGCCUCCGAAAAUGGAACCAAAAGGAAUGCGAGACUGCAGCCCUCAUCCUGGUUUUUAUGGUAGUCGCUUUGGUGGUCAAAUUCAAGUGCUAUGACUCCACAGCUGUCUCCUGCUCGCAGGAAGUCAGCAAAUCCUAUACUUUAAACUGGGUUUAAAAAACAAAACGACGCCAGGGCUUGGUGCGGGGAUAUUUACCUACUCGGAGCAAUAAAUUCUUCAUGCACCUACAAGACAGAUCUCCUGGAGCUGCUCCCCGCAUCUUUUGAGCCACUGAGCUAACUUCUUUCCCACCUCUGCUAUUCGGUUUGCCCUUAAGAACAGCACAAAACCCCCGGACCUUUCUUGGGAAAUGUGCAUUAUUUUAUUUUAUUUUAUUUUUUGGUACUAGCCCAUUGCUCAUCCCCAUCUGAGUUCGUUUCUCUCCCAUGCAGGCUGCAAAGAGAAGGGAACUGGGGGGUGGUGGUGGGGUGGGGAAUAAUUACGCUCAUAAACAAUAGCUUAACAUUAUUAGUUUGUAGUUAGUAUUAAUAUUGGUCCAUAAAAAGCCAAGUUAAAAGAUUGCUGACGCUUUAAUUAAAAGUUUCGCCCCAAACGACGUCAAAGCCAUAAAAUGGAGCAGAUUACCCAACUAAGGGACUCUCUCUUCAUAGCCAGCGCGCUUUUCUUGAUAUUUAUCAGCCAGCCGUGCAUUUGAGAGGCAGACACAAGCUCAGGUUGCCUUUCAGACCCAUUUAUAUACACCCCCAUCCCUUAUUAAAAAAAAAAAAAAGAAGAAGGGUUUAUGAGGAGGGCCCGCGCCUUUUCGACAGAUAUACCCAGCCAGAGAAAAAUCCGGGAGAGUAAAAACAAAAAAAAAUUAAAAUAAAAAAAAUCAAAUCAAAUGAAAGGCACUGUUGCAUGAAGGUGGGCAGCAGCUCGGAGACCCAGAAAGAGUCCCCUCUCUUAGCAGGGGCAGCCGCCAUAUUCGCCCCCAGACUCCGCAUUAAAUAAACUGAAUUUCAGGCAUAUCGCAAUACAAACACCCUGGUUUUGACGGCUAGGCUGCAGGGUCCAGCGGAUUUCAGCUCCGAUCUUAGCUCUGCUGAAAGAUCCUGACUUGUCGGGGGGGGAUCUCUCAAGAUAAGCAACUUUUUCCAAGCCCUUAUUCAUUUCAUUAGCUUUAUUAUUAUGACUACUCUUAUCAGUCUUACUAUUUCUCCAGCUGCAGCCAUCCUCCGCCUCUUCCCUGAAGCGUGUGCAGGAAGGAUUCCCCCCCUGCAUUUCUAUGAAUAUUGCCUAGAAAUGAAGCUGUCUGGAGACUAAAACGGGGGAGACAAAUAUAUAUAUAUAUAUAGAGAGAGAGAGAGAGAGAGACUGGCGGAAAUGAAAAUGAACCGUUUCUAGGCUGAAUGAGCAGAUUUUGUGAGCUGGACAGUUUGCAUCUGAUGUCUCUCUCGAGCUUAAUUGCUGCUUUGAGGAGUUGCCUGUUGUUGCCCAGUCCCCAAAAUAAAAAUAAAAUAAAUACAAAACCAAUAAAUUCCCCUUUAUUAGAGGCUUCUGAGCCCCUUUGCAAUAUUGUUCCUGCUUUAUCGAGUGCCUUGCUUUUUUUCCCCACCUUUUCUCUCUCUUCUUUCUGAUUUCUCUGGAAAAGAUACACUCAAUAAAAGCAUUUUGACUCUA